GGACCCGUAGCUCAGCCAGGAUAGAGCGCCGGCCUUCUAAGGCGAGGCCGGAGCUAGUCGGUGGUCGUGGGUUCGAAUCCCACCGGGCCCG
rnacentral:tRNA from 1 species